rnacentral:rRNA from 1 species
UAGAGUUUGAUCAUGGCUCAGAUUGAACGCUGGCGGCAGGCCUAACACAUGCAAGUCGAGCGGUAGAGAGAAGCUUGCUUCUCUUGAGAGCGGCGGACGGGUGAGUAAUGCCUAGGAAUCUGCCUGGUAGUGGGGGAUAACGUUCGGAAACGGACGCUAAUACCGCAUACGUCCUACGGGAGAAAGCAGGGGACCUUCGGGCCUUGCGCUAUCAGAUGAGCCUAGGUCGGAUUAGCUAGUUGGUGGGGUAAUGGCUCACCAAGGCGACGAUCCGUAACUGGUCUGAGAGGAUGAUCAGUCACACUAGAACUGAGACACGGUCCAGACUCCUACGGGAGGCAGCAGUGGGGAAUAUUGGACAAUGGGCGAAAGCCUGAUCCAGCCAUGCCGCGUGUGUGAAGAAGGUCUUCGGAUUGUAAAGCACUUUAAGUUGGGAGGAAGGGUUGUAGAUUAAUACUCUGCAAUUUUGACGUUACCGACAGAAUAAGCACCGGCUAACUCUGUGCCAGCAGCCGCGGUAAUACAGAGGGUGCAAGCGUUAAUCGGAAUUACUGGGCGUAAAGCGCGCGUAGGUGGUUUGUUAAGUUGGAUGUGAAAUCCCCGGGCUCAACCUGGGAACUGCAUUCAAAACUGACUGACUAGAGUAUGGUAGAGGGUGGUGGAAUUUCCUGUGUAGCGGUGAAAUGCGUAGAUAUAGGAAGGAACACCAGUGGCGAAGGCGACCACCUGGACUAAUACUGACAC